rnacentral:misc_RNA from 1 species
UUGGCGUGUUUCUCAGCAGGAGUUUGGGCCAGUCCGGGACUUAAGUUCAUCACGUACUGUUCUUUAUUGCGCGUGCGUAUAAAAAAAAAAUUAAUUUAUAUUAAUAAUUAUUACAAUAUACAAAAAAAAAACAUUAUUUAUAAAAUUUUUUCUUGUUUUAUUAAAAACACAAAAUGGCUACUUCCUGAAGACUGUUAAUUGUUAUUGCUCAUUAGUAUUUUUUAAAAAUUGUUACUUGUUUUUGUUAAUUAAUUGUGAAGUGUGAAAUAUGUUUUUUUUUAAUUUUUUUUGAAAAAAAAAAUAGUGUUUUGUGAAAAUUUCAAAUAUUAUUUUGCACCCACUCAACUCAUCCUUGGAUCGAAAAUUUUAUAAUUUAUUGGUGACCUUCAAAAAUCCACAGGUAUUCGUGGGAAAUAAAAAAAAAUUUGGAAAAAUAAUAAAUAAAGAGAAGAAGCUUCUUCGAUGAGGUCGAAAGAAAGAUCAAAUUUUAACGAGCCAAACGUAAAAGAACGUCAAUUUGAAGAUAAAAAAUAAAAAAAAAAAAUUAAAUUGGCCGGCAUUGAACAGUCAAGUUGCUGUGGUUUGAGUUUAACGGUAUAUAACUGAAACAUUGGUAUACUUUUUGAUACCACAGUUAUUAAACUUGUCCAUAAAAUCGAUUGAAUACCUCUUUUUUUAUUUUAUUUAUUUAUUUAUUUAUUGAAUUUUUCAUUUCAAAUAUUUUUUAAAAUGAUACAAAGAUAUGUAAUCUGGUUUUUAGUCAUAAUAAAAUUGACAUUUAUUUUUGACAAUGUACAUGGACACGUUGCACUAACAUUUCCACAAGCCAGAAAAUACGAUAUUGAUUUUCUUGAUAAUGCCAGAACACCUGGACCAUGUGGAAUGCCAAAAGGUGACAUAAAGACGAGUCUACUUGCUGGAAGUAAAUUCAAUAUCACUUGGCAUUUGGCAUAUCCUCAUCAGGGAGGUUUUCGAUUGCAAAUUCUUGAUGCAUUGGACAGGCCUUUGGUUGACUUGACACCAGUGACACAACAAAGUGAAUUUGUUUCUGACGACGCAACGGCACAGUAUUAUCCAGUUGAGUUGCCGCAAAAUUUCACCUGUAUUGAUUGUACAGUAAGACUGCUUCGUGAAGCUGCAGAAUGGGGAUCAAGCUACAGAUUUUGGUCAUGUUCAGAUGUCGAUAUUGUUGAGAAGAAAUUAUACAGAGAAACUUGUAGUGGUCAUGGAAGAUAUUUACUUGGUCGAUGUAAAUGUGAUGCAUUGUAUCAUGGUUCAAGAUGUGAAUAUCAUGAAGAAUGCAUGUCUAAUUCUGAUUGUGGUGAUCAGGGUAAAUGCAUUGACAAUGGUGGUACUACAUCACCAACAAAACAUUGUUAUUGCAACAAUGGAUGGUUUGGUCGUCGUUGUAACAAACUAUCACCAAUUAAAUCAACAACAGUUGAUUUUGAUAGUUACAGUGUAAAACAUUUUUCAAAUGAUUUUACAUUUUAUUGGCGUAUACUUGAGGAUAUUAAAGAGUUAGAAGGUGUUAUGGUUGUUAAUGGUACAUCAUGGGUUGGUAUUGGCUGGCGUUCGAGUAAUUUAUCAAGUGAAUGUCGUUCAUUUCCUGAUAUAACUGAUAAAAAAAUUAAAAUUGAAAUGUUACCACAACCAGAGCCAAAAUCUGAACCUGAAAUAAAUGCUCAUGUGUCUAGUAAUGGAGAACCUACACCAGAGAUAUCAGCUGAUAGACAAAAGUCAGAAGUUGGAUCACCAGAACCAGAACCAAGUAAACCAGAGCCAGAAACAAGUGUACCAGAACCAGAAAAUGGCAAACCAGAACCAUCAAAAUCAGCAGCCAAAAGACGAUCAGCAAAACCACAUACAGAUGUUGAUGUUCCAACUGUUAUUGACACUGAUACUAAAGUACAUACUAGUGUUACUUAUCAAAUAACUGCAAAACAAGGACGUAAAAAAAGAUCUCCAGAACCCGCAUCAUCUGAGCCAACUGGUGAGCCCACGAGUGAGCCGGAACAACCAAUAUCAAAACCAAAAUCCUUUAAGCCUAAGGCUACAAGGCCAAAGUUUCCAAGGCCUUCUAACCCUGCACCCUCAACUCCUGAACCUUUGAGCCCUGAACCUGAACCAAAAGGUGAACCUGUUUCUCCUGAACUUGAACCAAAAAGUGAACCUAUUUCUCCUGAACCUGAACCAAAAGGUGAACCUAUUUCUCCUGAACCUGAACUAAAAGGUGAACCUAUUUCUCCUGAACCUGAACCAAAAGGUGAACCUACUGCUCCAGAACCUGAACCAAAAGGUGAACCUAUUUCUCCUGAACCUGAACCAAAAGGUGAACCUAUUUCUCCCGAACCUGAACCAAAAGGUGAACCUAUUUCUCCCGAACCUGAACCAAAAGGUGAACCUAUUUCUCCUGAACCUGAACCAAAAGGUGAACCUACUGCUCCAGAACCUGAACCAAAAGGAGAACCUAUUGCUCCUGAACCUAAAACAAAAAGUAGACUUACUGCUUCUAAACCUAUAGCUCCUGAACCUGAACCAAAAGGUGAGCCUACUUUUCCUGAACCUGAACCAAAAAGUGAGCCUUCUGCUCCUGAGCCUGAAGCAAAAUCUGAGCCUUCUGCUCCCGAACCAGAAGCAAAAUCUGAGCCUUCUGCUCCUGAACCAGAAGUAAAAUCUGAGCCUUCUGCUCCUGAACCAGAAUCAAAAUCUGAACCUAUUUCACCUGAACCUGAAUCAAAAUCUGAACCUAUUUCUCCUGAACCCGAGGCAAAUCCUGAGCCUGAAGGAAUAUCAGAAUUCGGAAAAGCGGUUACUACGAAAGCUGGAUCAUCGCACAAUAAAUACACUCCCAAACAUGAUUUCCAUUCAAUGGAUUGUACAGACAUGAUAAUUGGUUCAGCAAGAGGUAAUACUCAUAGAAUUGGUGAUUAUUAUACUCGUGAUCGUUCAACACCACGUUUCGAUGAUUUUUGGGGUGGUAAAGAAAGUUUAACUGGUGCAAUGGGAUAUGAAAAAGAUGGUGUUACAACAAUAUUAUUCAGACGUAAAUUAUCAACAAAUGAUUUAACUGAUCAUGAUAUAGUCAAUGAUAAUAUGCAUGUUAUUUGGGCGAAAGGCCAAGAACCAGGUAAAUAUCAACAUCGUCCAUCAAGUGGAAUUGAAAAAGGUAAUGCAAAUAUUAAAGAUUUCUACAAACAAGAUGAGCUUAAAUAUCAUGGACAUAAUUCACAAAGAGGUGUUGAAUCAAUAAACUUUUUUGAUGAAAAAAAUAAAGAAAAAUUUGGUGGUGAUAAAGAAGAAGAAGCAAUUAAAAAAAAAUGUAGUGGUGAAUGGAGAUAUCCAAGACACUGUUCAAUUGAAAAUGCCACCUGUGAUUAUUACAUUGAAUGGACCUACAAAACACGAAAGGAUGAAGUGACCUUCAUAAUUGUUACAAAGGAAUCAAAUACUUGGACAGGUGUUGGUUUUUCAAAUGACAGAAAAAUGUCACAAACAGAUGCUAUUAUUGGAUGGAUUGAUAAAUCAUCUGGUAUGCCAUUUUUAAUGGACACAUGGAUAAGUGGUUAUACAUCUCCAGUACUUGAUGGAUCACAAGAUACAGUUAAUCACAGUGGUAAAAGUGAAAAUGGAAUUUCAACAAUUAAAUUUACACGUAAAAGAAUAAGUCGUGAUACUAAAGAUUUAUCAUUUACUGAUGAUCAUUGUUUAUACAUGAUGUUCCCAGUAAAAGGUGGUGAAUAUAAUCAAGUUAAUAAAAAAAUUAAAAAACAUGCAAGUAUAUUUGUAUCAUCAAAAAAAGUAUGCAUCAGAUCAUGUGGAAUUGAUGAUGAUGAAGAAGAUAAUGAAAUUGAAAGAAAAUUAUCAAAUCAACUUUAUUAUGAUAUUGAAGUUAAAUUAUUAAAUUUACCAAAUGGUUUUAAAGAACCACAACCAGGUACACAAGAUUUUGAUGAUAUAUCAAAAAAACUUUCAUACACAUUUGGUCCAGCAUUGAAUAAUCUUCCUGGUUAUUCGAUGAUUAAAUUGAGUGACCUACAAAGAAAUGGUGAAAACAGUGUCAUUGCAAAAAUGAGUUUAAUCUUGGAUAAAAAUGAGGCAAAAUUACGAGCAUUAAGACCAAACGAUACAGUUGCUAGUGCUGAAAUUGCAUUGAAACAAGCAAUUUUAAAUGGAAGAGUUGGUUCACUCACUGUAGAUCCACAAUAUCUUGUUGUACGAGCACCUCUUUUAAACGAGUUGUCUGAUGACUUUGAGAAUGGAAUAGGAGGAUCAAAGAACCUUUUGCUUGGUGAAACGAAGCUGUAUAUUGUCGCUGGAUGUGUCGCUGCUUUAGUUGCUAUAGCUUUGUUACAGGCAACUUGUACAGUGUACAAAGCCACAAGAAAACGCACGACAAAGAGGGUAUACUCGCUGCCUUUGGUUACUACUCCUACUUCUGCCAAUCCAAUUCAUCGUUCAUCCGCGACUCGUUAUCAUCGACAAAAUGACAAUGGUCACCAUCAUCAUCAUCAUCAUCAUCACCAUCCUCAUCAACAACAACAUCAACAACAGCAACCACAGCAACAGCAACAUAAUGGUCGUCAUCAUCAACAACAUCUUCCUCCAAAUAUGCAUCGACCAAACCAAAAUAAUAAUUGGUAGUCCAUAAAAAAAUAUUCCCAUUAUUCAAUGUCACAAUUAUAAUUUAUAUAUUAUCAUUUCUAUACCAUUGAACUAAAAAAAACAAAAAAAAGCCGGAGCGUUUGAUUGGAAAUAAUGCAUGGCGUGAUUAUACAACUGGUGCAAAUACAAAUUUUGCAUUUGAAGGAUUUGAAACUGAAGAAAAAGCAC